rnacentral:rRNA from 1 species
GAUGAACGCUGGCGGCGUGCUUAACACAUGCAAGUCGAACGGUGAAGGAGGGAGCUUGCUCCCUUUGGAUCAGUGGCGAACGGGUGAGUAACACGUGAGCAAUCUACCCUGGACUCUGGGAUAAGCGUUGGAAACGACGUCUAAUACCGGAUACGAGGCGUGGGGGCACCCCCAACGCCUGGAAAGAACUUCGGUCCAGGAUGAGCUCGCGGCCUAUCAGGUAGUUGGUGAGGUAAUGGCUCACCAAGCCUACGACGGGUAGCCGGCCUGGGAGGGUGACCGGCCACACUGGGACUGAGACACGGCCCAGACUCCUACGGGAGGCAGCAGUGGGGAAUAUUGCACAAUGGGCGCAAGCCUGAUGCAGCAACGCCGCGUGGGGGAUGACGGCCUUCGGGUUGUAAACCUCUUUCGACAUCGACGAAGGGGCCCUGUUGUGGGGUUUUGACGGUAGGUGUAGAAGAAGCACCGGCUAACUACGUGCCAGCAGCCGCAGUAAAAC